GCCUGGAUGGCUCAGUUGACAGAGCGUCAGACUUUUAAUCUGAGGGUCUAGGGUUCAAGUCCCUAUUUGGGCA